GGGUGGGGAGGGACAGGAGGUUGGCAGUGGCAGAGCGGAGGGAGCGAGUGGGAGUGUGUCUGUGGAGGAGGUCAGUCAGGUAGGAUGGGGCCAGGUUAUGGAGUGCUUUGUAUGUCAUCAGGAGGAUCUUGUACUGAAUUCUCUGGGGGAUGGGGAGCCAGUGGAGCUUAAUGAGGACGGGUGUAAUGUGUUCACGGAUUCGGGUGUGGAACCCAGUGCAGCAGUG